rnacentral:rRNA from 1 species
AGCGAACGCUGGCGGCAGGCCUAACACAUGCAAGUCGAACGAACUCUUCGGAGUUAGUGGCGGACGGGUGCGUAACACGUGGGAACGUGCCCUUUGGUUCGGAAUAACUCAGGGAAACUUGUGCUAAUACCGAAUGUGCCCUUCGGGGGAAAGAUUUAUCGCCAUUAGAUCGGCCCGCGUCUGAUUAGCUAGUUGGUGAGGUAACGGCUCACCAAGGCGACGAUCAGUAGCUGGUCUGAGAGGAUGACCAGCCACACUGGGACUGAGACACGGCCCAGACUCCUACGGGAGGCAGCAGUGGGGAAUAUUGCGCAAUGGGCGAAAGCCUGACGCAGCCAUGCCGCGUGAAUGAUGAAGGUCUUAGGAUUGUAAAAUUCUUUCACCGGGGACGAUAAUGACGGUACCCGGAGAAGAAGCCCCGGCUAACUUCGUG